UAAUUAGUGUUUUGUAUUUUUUAUUUAUUUAUUUUAUUGUUUAUUAAAAUCAUUUUAUUGUCUUUGUAUUUGAUUAUGAUUUGAUAAGUUUUGCUAUAGUUUAAUAGUACUGUAAGGGAAAUAUAUUUAAUUUUUUAUAAGUUUGUUUUAUUUAUUUUACCUUGUGUAUCAGGAUUUAAUUAAAAUACAUUAUUUAUUUAUUUUUCUCGAUUUUAUAGGAGUUAAAUUUAUGUAUUAUUUAUUGUUUUAUAAUUAUAUUUAAUAUAUAUUUGGUAAUGAAAUGUUAUUCGUUUUUAAUGGUAUCUGGUUUUUCAAGAAAUGAAUUUAAUUCAUAUAUAUUCUUUUAUGAUUUUAUUUUUAAUUAAUGUUGUUUUAGUUUAUGUGAAUGUUAUUUGGGAUGAGCUUAUUAACAUAUGUCUAUAAAUUUAUUUUGUUUGUAAAUGUUAUGGAUUUAAAGGUGAUUAUUGAUUUGAGGAUGUAAAAUUUUUGUUUAUUUAUGUUUCUUUUUUUAUUAAUAUUUAAUUAGAUUUUAUAUUGAAUAUCUUUAUUUAAUUUUUUAUUAUUUGUUAUUAUUUUAUAAUUAGUAAAUUUUUAUUUAUGUUUUGUUACUUAUCGUAUAUGAAUUCGGCAAUUAUUUGUGUUCGAUUGUUUAUCAAAAACAUUUUUUUUUGUUUUUAAUUUAAAGUAUAACCUGCCCACUGAUGUUUUAUUGAAUGGCCGCGGUAAUUUGACCGUGCAAAGGUAGCAUAAUCAUUAGUCUUUUUAUUGGAGACUGGAAUGAAUGGUUUAACGAGAUACAUCCUGUGUUUAUGAUAUUUUAUUUGAAUUUGAUUAUUGAGUUAAAAGGCUUGAAUUUAGUUAUGGGACGAGAAGACCCUAUAGAGUUUAAUAUUAAUAUUUGUUGUUUGUGUGUUGGUUGUUUAUGUUGUAUAAUAUUAUUAUUUGGUUGGGGUGAUUGGAAGAUAAAUUGAACUCUUUUUAUUAUUUUGAUAUUUAUUUAUAGGUGUAUUGAUCCAUUAUUUAUGAUUAUAAGACUAAAUUACCUUAGGGAUAACAGCGUUAUUUUUUUUGAGAGUUCUUAUCGACAAUAAGGAUUGCGACCUCGAUGUUGGAUUAAGGUUUAAUUUUGGGUGUAGAAUUUCAAUUGAUUGAGUCUGUUCGACUUUUAAAACCUUACAUGAUCUGAGUUCAAACCGGCGUGAGCCAGGUUGGUUUCUAUCUAUAAUUGGUUGAAUAUUUUAGUACGAAAGGACCAAUUAUUCUAAAUAAUUUAUUUUUGGUGUAUAAUUUUAAUC
rnacentral:rRNA from 1 species